rnacentral:rRNA from 1 species
UACGUAGGUGGCAAGCGUUGUCCGGAUUUACUGGGCGUAAAGAGCGCGCAGGCGGUCGGAUUAGUCGCGUGUGAAAGCCCCCGGCUCAACUGGGGAGGGUCACGCGAUACUGUUCGACUCGAAGGCAGGAGAGGGAAGUGGAAUUCCCGGUGUAGUGGUGAAAUGCGUAGAUAUCGGGAGGAACACCAGUGGCGAAGGCGACUACCUGGCCUGUUCUUGACGCUGAGGCGCGAAAGCUAGGGGAGCAAACGGG